AAAGUUAAGUAGUUUAAGUUGUGUGCAAGUGGUAGGAGAGCGUUCUAUUUGCGUCGAAGGUAUACCGGUAAGGAGUGCUGGAGCGAAUAGAAGUGAGCAUGCAGGCAUGAGUAGCGAUAAUUAAUGUGAGAAUCAUUAACGCCGUAAACCCAAGGUUUCCUACGCGAUGCUCGUCAUCGUAGGGUUAGUCGGGUCCUAAGUCGAGUCCGAAAGGGGUAGACGAUGGCAAAUUGGUUAAUAUUCCAAUACCAACAUUAGUGUGCGAUGGAAGGACGCUUAGGGCUAAGGGGGCUAGCGGAUGGAAGUGCUAGUCUAAGGUCGUAGGAGGUUAUACAGGCAAAUCCGUAUAACAAUACUCCGAGAACUGAAAGGCUUUUUGAAGUCUUCGGAUGGAUAGAAGAACCCCUGAUGCCGUCGAGCCAAGAAAAGUUUCUAAGUUUAGCUAAUGUUGCCCGUACCGUAAACCGACACAGGUGGGUGGGAUGAGUAUUCUAAGGCGCGUGGAAGAACUCUCUUUAAGGAACUCUGCAAAAUAGCACCGUA
rnacentral:rRNA from 2 species